UGCAUAUACCUUAUAUAGGAUUCUUAAGCCAUAAAAUCCUAUUUUUUAAUUUUCUUACUUCACAUAACAUAUUUAAUUCAUUUACUCAUAACUAGUCCAUUUUCAUGAAAAAUACCAAAUCAGUUCCAAAAAUAUUUCUUUUCUGUGAUUUAGCAUAAUAUAGUCCCACAUUGAACAUGUAUUUUUCUUAGAAUUUUUAAAAUUCAUUUACUAUUUUUCAUAUGGCCAAAACCGUCGAAUAUUUAGACAUUUAUCAUAAAUUGUACUUUUCUCCAAAAAUUCCGAAAUUCACAGAGUAUACUGAUGUUAUAUAGAUGUACUCUCAAUAUAAAUUUUAUCAAUUUUGGAGUUAACCACAAGGAGUUAUAAGCGUUUACUUUUAAAAUAGUUUUUUCUCUUAAAAUCCAUAACUCUUAAUCUAUAUAUCCAAAAAUCGCCAUUUUUGGACACAAUCAACAAAACUCAUCAAAUUAUCAUUUCAAAUUUUUCCAGAAUUUUUGAAGGUUCGCAAAAAAUUCAAAACUGAAAAACAUAAUAACCCUUAAAAUCCCGUACCUCAAAAGAGCAAUACUUCUGACAGGAAUGUCGGAUAUAACGCUGAAGAGAACUUGCACCGUAUAGCAACACUCAAGAUAUCUAAAUACUCACAAAAAUACGCUCGAUAAUAUAU
rnacentral:lncRNA from 1 species